CGGAGGGAUACCCGAGCCUUUUCCGGAUUUCCAUGAGGUGAGAAGAUUUUCUGUACGACUCGCAGUUUUCGUCGGGAGGUGAACCCAAUGGAGCUUCAAGCUUCUCUCUGUUUGGCCCAAUUCCCAGAACACUGUUGAGCUCUCCGUACUGCUUUGAUGGCCUCCUCCUUCUUCCCCUGAGUGAUGAGCCAGCGAGCUGACUCCGGAAGGACCCUGGUUGACAGAGAACCCUACAAUCAAAAACUCUGAGUGCCUGCAUAGCAGAAUGGAUCCGACCUUUAGACAGUAAAACCCAUGAAAAAAAGACAGCACAUCAUUCUUUGGGGAGUCAACCAACCAGAAAGAUGACGUCAGUACUAAACAUGCUUGUUUCAGGUUGUGUCCCCCCUCCAAGAUCCAGUCGGUGUUACAGUGGUGAGGAAAGUUCAUGCCAGUGAACACCUGGCAGAUCACAUCAAAUGCUACAAAUACGCUGGGGAUGCAGAGUGCAG